rnacentral:miRNA from 1 species
AUACCUCAGUCUUAUCAGGUG